rnacentral:misc_RNA from 1 species
GCGGAGGAAAAGAAACCAACAGGGAUUGCCCUAGUAACGGCGAGUGAAGCGGCAACAGCUCAAAUUUGAAAUCUGGCUUCGGCCCGAGUUGUAAUUUGCAGAGGAAGCUUUAGGCGCGGCACCUUCUGAGUCCCCUGGAACGGGGCGCCAUAGAGGGUGAGAGCCCCGUAUAGUUGGAUGCCUAGCCUGUGUAAAGCUCCUUCGACGAGUCGAGUAGUUUGGGAAUGCUGCUCAAAAUGGGAGGUAAAUUUCUUCUAAAGCUAAAUACCGGCCAGAGACCGAUAGCGCACAAGUAGAGUGAUCGAAAGAUGAAAAGCACUUUGAAAAGAGGGUUAAAUAGCACGUGAAAUUGUUGAAAGGGAAGCGCUUGUGACCAGACUUGCGCCGGGCUGAUCAUCCGGUGUUCUCACCGGUGCACUCUGCCCGGCUCAGGCCAGCAUCGGUUCUCGCGGGGGGAUAAAGGCCCUGGGAAUGUAGCUCCUCCGGGAGUGUUAUAGCCCGGGGUGUAAUACCCUCGCGGGGACCGAGGUUCGCGCAUCUGCAAGGAUGCUGGCGUAAUGGUCAUCAGCGACCCGUCUUGAAACACGGACCAAGGAGUCAAGGUUUUGCGCGAGUGUUUGGGUGUAAAACCCGCACGCGUAAUGAAAGUGAACGUAGGUGAGAGCUUCGGCGCAUCAUCGACCGAUCCUGAUGUAUUCGGAUGGAUUUGAGUAGGAGCGUUAAGCCUUGGACCCGAAAGAUGGUGAACUAUGCUUGGAUAGGGUGAAGCCAGAGGAAACUCUGGUGGAGGCUCGCAGCGGUUCUGACGUGCAAAUCGAUCGUCAAAUCUGAGCAU